AGCGAACGCUGGCGGCAGGCUUAACACAUGCAAGUCGAACGGGCGUAGCAAUACGUCAGUGGCAGACGGGUGAGUAACACGUGGGAACGUACCUUUUGGUUCGGAACAACUGAGGGAAACUUCAGCUAAUACCGGAUAAAGCCCCUUACGGGGAAAGAUUUAUCGCCGAAAGAUCGGCCCGCGUCUGAUUAGCUAGUUGGUGGGGUAAGAGCCCACCAAGGCGACGAUCAGUAGCUGGUCUGAGAGGAUGAUCAGCCACAUUGGGACUGAGACACGGCCCAAACUCCUACGGGAGGCAGCAGUGGGAAUAUUGGACAAUGGGCGAAAGCCUGAUCCAGCCAUGCCGCGUGAGUGAUGAAGCCCUAGGGUUGUAAAGCUCUUUUAACGGGGAAGAUAAUGACGGUACCCGUAGAAUAAGCCCCGGCUAACUCGUGCCAGCAGCCGCGGU
rnacentral:rRNA from 1 species